GACGAACGCUGGCGGCGUGCUUAACACAUGCAAGUCGUACGGUAAGGCCCUUUCGGGGGUACACGAGUGGCGAACGGGUGAGUAACACGUGAGUAACCUGCCCACAACUUUGGGAUAACGCUAGGAAACUGGUGCUAAUACUGGAUAUGUGCUCCUGCUGCAUGGUGGGGGUUGGAAAGCUCCGGCGGUUGUGGAUGGACUCGCGGCCUAUCAGCUUGUUGGUGGGGUAGUGGCCUACCAAGGCGGCGACGGGUAGCCGGCCUGAGAGGGUGACCGGCCACAGUGGGACUGAGAUACGGCCCAGACUCCUACGGGAGGCAGCAGUGGGGAAUAUUGCACAAUGGGCGCAAGCCUGAUGCAGCAACGCCGCGUGCGGGAUGACGGCCUUCGGGUUGUAAACCGCUUUCAGCAGUGACGAAGCUUUUUGUGACGGUACCUGCAGAAGAAGCACCGGCUAACUACGUG
rnacentral:rRNA from 1 species